rnacentral:tRNA from 1 species
GGUUUGUGGCUCAGCGGUAGAGCUCUCACCUCAAACGUGCGAGAUCCUGAGUUCGAUCCUCAGCACCA